GUGCAGCCCUAAAAUGACAAAAAGACAAAAAAAAAAAAAAAGAUAAUAGCACAUUUGGGGGGCCUGUCUUCAAUCUCAUUCUUUUUUGAAUGUGACAUUUCGAUCAGCCACAUACUUCUGACCAUGCAACACUACCCCAAUAAUAUUUGAAAAUAAAACAGUGACAGUUGUUCAUUACUUACAUAUCUUUUACAUCUUUAUUAAAAAUUUAAAAAUUGGAUUAUCAAUAUAGCUAAGCAUCCAUAUGAUUCUGGAAAUAUUUUGAUGAUAAAUGAAAGAAACCCUUAGGUUCUAAGGCGAUAAACAAUCUUCCUUCAAAAACACACAAUUUUAUUUAUUUUUAUUUUCUUAGUCUAUUUUUUUCAGGACUGCACCCAUGGCAUAUGUAGGUUCCCAGGCUAGGGGUCUAAUCAGAGCUAUAACUCUUGGCCUAUUCCACAGCUCACAGCAAUGCCGGAUCCUUCACCCACUGAGUGAGGCCAGGAAUUGAAUCUGCGUCCUCAUGGAUACUAGUCAGUUUCAUUUCCACUGAGCCAUGCUGGGAACUCCAAAAACACACAAUUUUAGUUUUUGGUAAUAUCACAAACAGGAUGGCAGAGGAAAAAUCAUGCACAUUAUAAGCUAAGGCACUGUGCUUUAAUUCUUAUGCCAUUGAUUUUUCAGGCUAAAUCAAGGGGAAAAAUACCACAUUUUGAAAAGUCUGAAUAUAUUCACAUGGUAAGUUGUUUAUUUAAAUCAGGGUAAUUUAGUGUGUUACCACUAUAUGUCAAGAGACACAGUACAAUGCCAUAAAACAUCUCAUAAAUCACAAAGGAGUUACCAUGAAUAAAGGAACAGCAAAGGAAAUCUUAAGAGACAUUGUAAUUGCACAAUUGGCAGUACAGAUUGUUGAGUUCUGAACAGACCAGAAAGAUGUAGUUUUUGCCAACAAUAAUAGAGAGGAAAAAUACUUUCCAUGGUAAAUCCAAGUAUGGAAGAGUAUGGCUGUAUAGCUGUUAAAGAACCCAUGAAGAAACUUAAAAGAAAACAUGCUUUAUAUCUGGUACAUUACAUUAUUAGAGGUACCUCACAAAGAUUCACAGAUAUUCACAAAUUACUUAAAUGAAUGACCAAGGGCUAGUAGGCAUGAUUUUUAUUUCAAACUUUUAUUUAGGUUUAUGACAAUGGAUAAGCUAAAUUAUUUUUAAUUUAUAUGCCUCAAUGAACUUCACACAGCAACAUUUCCAAAGAUUCUAACAAUUUUAACCAUUUAUCAGUUUCCUAAAGGUAGUGUAUUAGUCAGCUUUUGUUGUGGUAAGAAACAACCCCAAUAGCUCAAUGGCUUACAAGAAAAAACAUUUAUUUCUAAUUUAUAUUGCAAGAGGGCUGUAAGUUGGCUGAAUUGUCUUGGCUGGGCUGCACUGGGAUUAGCUCCAUCCAUCUUCCCACUCCAGGACCCAGGCUGAAGGAGCAGUCCCCAUCUGGGCCAUAAUAUUCUUUUGCUUUGUUUGUUUAUGGCUGCACCUGAGGCUUAUGAAAGUUUCUGGGCUAGGGUUCAAACUGGAGCUGCAGCUGAGCCAUACACCACAACCGUGGCAACAGUGGAUUGGAGCUGCAUCUGUGAUCUACACUGCAGCUUGUGGCAACACCAGAUUCUUAACCCACUGAGCAAGUCCAGGUAUUGAACCCACAUCUUCACAGAGAGUGUAUUGCGUCUUUAAGCUAUUGAGCCACAGUGGGAACUCCUGGGUCAUACUCUUCUCAUGGGAGAAGGCAGAACACAAGAGAGACAGAGUCCAACCAAAUGAGCAUAGUCUGUAUCUCUUACAGAAGGUGGCAUAAGUCUGCUCAUAAUCUUUUUGCCCAAAUAAGUCACAAGGCCAAGUCCAACAUCAGUGGGGUUAGAAGUACAUCCAUCCUACAGUAAAGAAUAGUAAAAGUGGGGAGGAAAUGAGUCAUUGAGAAUAAAUAAUACAAUCUAAAGUUGUUGGUAAAAGGCACUGUUGAUAAAAAUUAAUAUUUUGGGGAGGUUUCUAUAAUAAAAAAAUCUUCUUCAAAGAUCAUUGAUAAUCUCCUGCAAUAUAAUCUACAAUUUAUUCUAAAUCUUUAGUUCUUCCCCUUGCCUGAAGCAUUGGAUAAUUUCCUCCUUGAAAUGUUUUCCUCUUUUCGGUUCUAUAGUAUUUUUCCUGGUUCUCUUCUUACCUCUCUGAAGACUUCUCUCUGCCUUUGUUAAUUAUCUUUCUAAUGGUGGUUCUAGAAAUAAGGCUCUCCCACCUGACUUUUCACUGGCCCUUUUAUUGCUAAGCAGUUCCAACUCAAACAACUCCUGUGAUUUCAAUGAUCUUUUCCAUGUGGAAAUAUCUCAAAUGACUGUAUUCAGCCUUGACUUCCAGAUUUGUACGGCCACCUGCCUUCUGGGAUCUCUGUUUGAAUGGUUUUUGACACUUCAAAUUCAGUAUUGUCAUUAGAAACUAGUCAUCUUUCCAUCUAGAUGUUUCCUUCCUGACUUCCCUAUUUCCAAUGGCAGCACCAUUUUCCAGGUCAUUCUGACUCACACCUCUGAGUUGUAUUUGACUCCUCCCUCCUUCCAACAUCCAAUUAAUGAAUGCUAAGUCAUAGGAUAUUUCAUAACCAUCCACUUAUUUUUUUUCCUACUACUGUCAUUCUUCAUUCCAGCCCAACCACUUUAAAAUAAUAGUCUCUUCUCCUUUGUUCUAUCCCCUUUAGCUUCUUAUUUUGUCACCAGGUUUUCCAGAUCAGAGCUCAUUGAAUUUUCUAGUUACUCUCUGUGUCUAAAUCAGUCACACAUUCACUCUGAUGUACAAGAAUUUUCACAUUAUGUUUCUAACUUGACUUUUUUAGGUUAUCUUCUAAAUGUUAAAAUUAAUUGAAGCUCGUGCCAAAAUAGGCUACUUGCUAUUACUUGAACACAUCCAAUGUUUGCCACUUAUUUGUCUUUUAUCUGCUGUUUUUUUUCUUUCCAGUGUUUACUUUGGCCCCAAUUUUUGUUCAGAUGAUACCUGUGCUUUUAAAUUUCAAUGUCAAUGAAAAAAUCUCUUCUAAGAACUUUUUCUAGCAGCACUUGGUUUGCAUCUCUCUAGUGCAUAGUUUUGCUUUAUGUUCCAGUGAUUUAUAAAGUUAUUCCUUCAACGAGACUAGUUUUUAGGAGAGACCACAAGUGGAUAGUACCCACAUUCGUAAUUUCUGUAGCAUCUAGAGAACUCUGUAUGUAAUAAAUUUAUAAUAUUAAUAAAUUAAUAAAAUCAAUAAUUUAAGAACUUAACUCAGGAUUCAGAUAGACUCUGGCACUGUUGAUGUUAAUUAUAAUUAUUCUUAUUAUUAAAUCUUCAUUAAGUGCUCAUAGAAUGUGGUUACACUUGCAACAGUUUUAUAUUUUCUCCUACCUUGUUUACAAAGUAAUUAGUAAAUGAGAACAAGCACAUUUUAUACUGGGAUUUUUUUUGUAUAAAAAUUUUUUUAUACUUGGAUAAUUGAGAAAUGAUUUGUUUUCCUAAUUACAACGGACAUUCAUUGUAAUCUUUUUUUUUUUUUUUUUUGGAGGUAGGUAAAACCCUUCUUUGCAUGAAGUUAAUUUCUUUUGUGUGUGUUUUUACUUAGAUUACACAGCAAAGAAAUUUCUUGAGCUAAAUUUUCCCUGCACCCUGCAAAAGAUCAUUAAAUGAUUGUGAAUCUCCUUACAAGAUAAAUAUAAAGAGAAAUAAUGAAUUUUUUUCCUAUGACUUGCUCAACAGUUCAACUUACCUCAGGUAAUAUUCUUUCUGAAUAAAUAGUUACCAACCACAUAAUUGCCUUGCUUCACAGAGAACUGAGAGAGUUAUUCAAAAAUAGGUCAAGGAGAAUCAGAAGUUAGGUUGGGAGAGUGUGGGCUGAUCCACUAUCAAUUUCGAAUUUUAAGAGAUAGGCUUUAACUUCUAGUAAUUGUUACUAAAUGGUGAUUAAAUGAUAUCAUUUUUGGAAUGCUAAUUUCUCAGAGUCAUCACACUAAGUUAACACAGUUGGGAAAUACUAAAAUGGUAUUGAUGUCAGGAAAGGAAGUGAAUGUUCCCUUAAAAAUUUGGUAAAAUUGGAUCUCAUGCUAAGUGUUCUUACCACAGGGGGAAAAAACCCCCACAAAAAAUGAAACCAAAUCCAAAAAAACCCAAAGGGAUACCAGUAAAAGUUUGGAAGUGGUAGAUAUUUUAUUACCUUGAUAAUGGUGAUAUCAUAGGUAUAUGCAUAUGUCCCAACUCAUCAAAUUUUAUAUAUUAAAUAUGUGUAGCUUUUGUAUAUCAGUUACACAUCAAUAAAGCUGUAAAACAAAACAACAAAAACUUUUUUGCACAAAACCUGAAACAUAUUCAGGGUAUAGUAAGAAUUUCCAGAGAUCUCGGAAAAGCUGGUGAAGGAAAAACAGCAUGACGGCCUAAAAUGAGGGCAAGCUUUGGAAUAACAUUACAUGCGCUUCCAAUUUAAACUGUUGUGCAGUGUAGAAGAAGAUAAAAGUUUCCCAAUUCAUUUUAAGUAAGCAUAACCUUGACUCCAAAACCUUCCAAACCUGAAUAAAAAGGAAACCAGAGACCAAUGUCAUUUAUGUGUAUUGUUGCAAAAAUUAUUAAUAAAAUGUUGGCAUGUUAAAUUGAAU
rnacentral:lncRNA from 1 species